CUCAGUUCGGAUCGGAGUCUGCAACCCGACUCCGUGAAGCUGGAUUCGCUAGUAAUCGCGCAUCAGCCAUGGCGCGGUGAAUACGUUCCCGGGCCUUGUACACACCGCCCGUCAAGCCAUGGGAGCCGGGGGUACCUGAAGUCCGUAACCGCGAGGAUCGCCCUAGGGUAAAACUGGUGACUGGGGCUAAGUCGUAACAAGGUACC
rnacentral:rRNA from 1 species